rnacentral:rRNA from 1 species
GACGAACGCUGGCGGCAUGCCUAACACAUGCAAGUCGAGCGAGCAGAUCCCUUCGGGGUGAAGCUAGCGGCGGGCGGGUGAGUAACACGUGGGCAACCUGCCUCAUAGAGGGGAAUAGCCUUCCGAAAGGAAGAUUAAUACCGCAUAAGAUUGUGGCUUCGCAUGAAGCAGCAAUUAAAGGAGCAAUCCGCUAUGAGAUGGGCCCGCGGCGCAUUAGCUAGUUGGUGAGGUAACGGCUCACCAAGGCGACGAUGCGUAGCCGACCUGAGAGGGUGAUCGGCCACAUUGGGACUGAGACACGGCCCAGACUCCUACGGGAGGCAGCAGUGGGGAAUAUUGCACAAUGGGGGAAACCCUGAUGCAGCAAUGCCGCGUGAGUGAUGACGGCCUUCGGGUUGUAAAGCUCUGUCUUCGGGGACGAUAAUGACGGUACCCGAGGAGGAAGCCACGACUAACUACGUGCCAGCCGCCGCGGUAA